GAAAUCAUCCAUUUAAAAAGAGUUUGCGGUAAGCCUAGUGAGCUUGGCGCCUGUUCUGUUUGACACUCGUAAAGAGAAGAUUUGUCUCGAACUUCAUGAUCCGAAAGGGCCAUGAUUUGUCGCAAGGGACGCUCAAUCCCUUGCCUAUGAGUGGGUCUGCCUAACCGCGCCCUCGAACGGAUCUCGAGAAGCUGGUCUUUUUGUGCUCAAUUCCAACCAGUAAUACCCCGCACAGGGUUGCUUGCUGCCAGGCGACGAUCCCUUCGGGAUCGCGCUUAGCCAAUCUCUGCAAGGGAGAGGCUGAAGCGACGAUCUCUUCGAGAUCGCGCGAUGGGUAUUGGCAAUGAGAACGAUCAAGUGUCUUAAGGGCAAUUGGUGGAUGCCUUGGCAUGCACAGGCGAUGAAGGACGUGAUACGCUGCGAUAAGCUACGGGGAGGUGCGA
rnacentral:misc_RNA from 1 species